rnacentral:rRNA from 1 species
CAGCAGCCGCGGUAACACGGAGGGUGCAAGCGUUAAUCGGAAUUACUGGGCGUAAAGCGCACGCAGGCGGUUUGUUAAGUCAGAUGUGAAAUCCCCGAGCUUAACUUGGGAACUGCAUUUGAAACUGGCAAGCUAGAGUCUUGUAGAGGGGGGUAGAAUUCCAGGUGUAGCGGUGAAAUGCGUAGAGAUCUGGAGGAAUACCGGUGGCGAAGGCGGCCCCCUGGACAAAGACUGACGCUCAGGUGCGAAAGCGUGGGGAGCAAACAGGAUUAGAUACCCCAGUAGUCCCUGUCUCUUAUAC